rnacentral:rRNA from 1 species
AGGACGAACGCUGGCGGCGUGCUUAACACAUGCAAGUCGAGCGGUAAGGCUCCUUCGGGAGUACACGAGCGGCGAACGGGUGAGUAACACGUGAGCAAUCUGCCCUUCUCUUCGGAAUAACCAUUGGAAACGAUGGCUAAUGCCGAAUACGACCUCCUUUCGCAUGAUCGGAGGUGGAAAGCUCCGGCGGAGAAGGAUGAGCUCGCGGCCUAUCAGCUAGUUGGCGGGUAACGGCCACCAAGGCGACGACGGGUAGCCGGCCUGAGAGGGUGACCGGCCACACUGGGACUGAGACACGGCCCAGACUCCUACGGGAGCAGCAGUGGGGAAUAUGGACAAUGGGACGAAAGCCUG